rnacentral:tRNA from 1 species
AAAGACUGUAAAAUUACACUAUACAACUCCUGAAUGCAACUCAGACACUUUAAUUAAGCUAAGGCCUC